rnacentral:rRNA from 1 species
CGGGGUGAGUAACACGUGGAUAACCUGCCUCACACUGGGGGACAACAGUUAGAAAUGACUGCUAAUACCGCAUAAGCGCACAGUACCGCAUGGUACAGUGUGAAAAACUCCGGUGGUGUGAGAUGGAUCCGCGUCUGAUUAGCCAGUUGGCGGGGUAACGGCCCACCAAAGCGACGAUCAGUAGCCGACCUGAGAGGGUGACCGGCCACAUUGGGACUGAGACACGGCCCAA